UCUCUCGCGCAGUUUACCCCACGUUAAAAAUAUUGAACAACGACGCCAAACGUGUUAAACGUCGUUAUGAUAAACACCAUCAUUUUACUUCGUAUGUCAGAAGAAAACCAUAUAAGCGAAUUUACGUGGGGACAUUUCUGUUUCAGAAAUUUUCAAAUACAACGCUAAACCCGUGUUUACAAACGAACAGUAGCUAGGAAACCCUGAAAUCUGGAGGAUUCAUUACUAAACCAGGGUUAAGAAGAUUAUUCAUCUGGAUAAAAGCAUCUUAUCUGACUGAGUGUGCUGAAUCGACACAGUCUUGUCAGACAUAGUGAGGCAUCGAUCCAGUAGUGACACCCCGAUCACUGGUACACACACACAUCCUCAGAGGUUGGGAGUAUGUGCUGAGAGCUGCAGAGGUCUUGAAAUCGCUGAGACAGAGAGAGCGCGCACUCAUGUAUGGAUAAAACAUUGCUUCAUGCUGCAGGGAGAGAAGAGUGUCUCAGUAGACCAGAAAAAGGCUGCCAACACCCCCCUCACAAAACCUGCAGUGCUGCUAGAGUCCACAGUGACUAUAAAACCCAAUCCGGAUGGGACUGAGUUUCCCUGAGGAGGUCAGAGAACAGAGUUUGUCGUGAUGCAAAAGAGCUGCUGUUGGCCACCCAGCGAAUGUGAUUGAACCGAGACAAGUAAUUUGCCCAGAAUCAAAGGCUUACAGUGGAUUUGGAUCAUUGACCUGUCAAUGGAUGACAAAUUAUUCUUUUGGUUUGGCUGACGUGCUUUUAAUUAAUCAUUUGUCAUUAAAGCUGUA